rnacentral:rRNA from 1 species
CAAGUCGCACGAGAAAGGGGCCUUCGGGUCCUGUGUAAAGUGGCGAACGGGUGAGUAACGCGUAGGUAACCUGUCCUUGAGUGGGGAAUAACCUGGCGAAAGCCGGGCUAAUACCGCAUGAUGUCCAGGCAUCUCUGGAUGUUUUGACCAAAGGUGGCGAGCUUCGAGCGCUGCCGCUCAAGAAGGGGCCUGCGUCCCAUUAGCUAGUUGGUGGGGUAACGGCCCACCAAGGCUACGAUGGGUAGCCGGGCUGAGAGGCUGUCCGGCCACACUGGAACUGAGACACGGUCCAGACUCCUACGGGAGGCAGCAGUGGGGAAUCUUGCGCAAUGGGGGAAACCCUGACGCAGCGACGCCGCGUGGGCGAUGAAGGCCUUCGGGUCGUAAAGCCCUGUCGAGCGGGACGAAAUGUGCGAGCUCUAACAUAGCUCGUGCUUGACGGUACCGCUAGAGGAAGCCCCGGCUAACUCCGUGCCAGCAGCCGCGGUAAUACGGAGGGGGCUAGCGUUAUUCGGAAUUAUUGGGCGUAAAGGGCGUGUAGGCGGCUUCGUGUGUCCCAUGUGAAAGCCCUCGGCUCAACCGGGGAACUGCAUGGGAAACUGCGGAGCUUGAGUCCGGGAGAGGAUAGUGGAAUUCCCAGUGUAGCGGUGAAAUGCGUAGAUAUUGGGAGGAACACCGGUGGCGAAGGCGGCUAUCUGGACCGGUACUGACGCUGAGACGCGAAAGCCAGGGGAGCAAACGGGAUUAGAUACCCCGGUAGUCCUGGCUGUAAACGAUGAGCACUUGGUGUGGCGGGUAUCGACCCCUGCCGUGCCGAAGCUAACGCAUUAAGUGCUCCGCCUGGGGAGUACGGCCGCAAGGCUGAAACUCAAAGGAAUUGACGGGGGCCCGCACAAGCGGUGGA